rnacentral:lncRNA from 1 species
AAGCAGAGCAAAGCAUCUAUAAGCACAAAAGGCAUCUUAUCUUGGAGAGAUGCUCACACCAUAAGGGCACUUAGUAGAAGAGACCAACCAACAAAAGCAGAUCCCUGUGUCCUCCCCCUCUCCCACUAGGGGAGGUGUGUGCAUGACCUGGAAUAGCAAAGAAAGCCCUGAAGUAAAAAUUGCUCAGCUCAACUAGUAUACAGAUAAUUGUAUAAAGCAAACAAUAUGGAUCUAAUUCAACCAGGAGAAUCCCAGGACAACAAGCCAGGCAUGUGACUUUUACCCAGUAAGAAAGUCCUUAAUCUUCAGAGUUGAGAGUGAAGGAGUGGACCUGGCUUUAGGAUGGACUUUAUCUUUCUAGUCAGUUUCUUGCACAUUAGGAGCAGGAAAUUAAUGUGAAAAGAAAAGUUUCUUCCCAUUCUGUAAAACACUAUGAUCACAAACUUCUUACACUUGAGACCUAUCUUGGAAUAUAAUACGAAUAGGAGAGAAUUAUUAGUAUUGAUCAACAGUUGCCCCCAAACUUGGGUGCUAGGAAACGAGAAACACCGAGGGUGCCAAGAAGAGCAUUAGGAGAACAACUUUGCACAGUCUGAGACCUCAGUGCCCAGGAGGGCAGCGACUGAAAUGAGCAACAGUAAGAGUUCCUAGAAAUAUAUUGGAAGAGUAAGUGUACUGCGGAGUGUUGGGAUUCUGUUUAAAGCCAAUAAAAUUUUCAUUUUUACUAGUGUCACUUCAGAUGAGAUUGGGCAUGUUCAGCAUGGUAUGGCUGUAGACUAGUGUCACCUCAUAUAUAUCCACAGACUUCUAAAGCCUAGAGAAAUUUAGAAGUAGGCCCAUGUGACAGAUGGGCAGAUUGGGCAAAAUUGGGGUAAGAAAGUCCUUUGUAGGAGUUUUCUUUAGUGAAUCUAUUUCCACCUGAGUGUGCUGUAAAUUACAAAGUCAUUCUCCAAAAUUCUAUUUUUCAACCUUUGCUUUUUCAUUUUGCUAAUGUAUUAUGUUGGCUUAGAACAAUGGUUCUAAACCUUAUGUGCAUAUUAAAAUAACAUGGAGAACUUCUUUAUAAUACAAAUGACUCAUCAGUACUAACAGCCUGCCAUUCAGUAUAUGUCCUUGAUGUGACACACUGCGCUUCAAACUCACCCAGAACAUUAAGAUAUUCUUCAAGACAGUUGGCCUAUAUUCCUCGAGAAGUCAAUUUGUAAUGAAGAACAGAGAGAGGGAAAGAAUCUUCUAGAUUAAAAUAAGCUAAGAGUUCCUGCUGUGGUGCAACAGGAUCACCAUGUCUCUGUAGAGCCAGGACGCAGGUUUGAUCCCCUACCUGGCACAGUGUGUUUUAUCCAAGCUUAAAAUUUCAGGCUUAUUCUCCAAAACCAUAUGCCUACCUUAUGAAUGAGUGAAAACCCAGACUUACCUUUUCAUGAUAUGUACCCAUAUUGAAAUUUUUCCCUGUUAUUAAUGCCUUCCUCUACAAUGGCUUCUUCAAGGACAAGCCCCUAUUGUCCUUCCUACUAAAAACCCCUAUUAUGUCCUUUUGAUGAAUUCCCAGAGGACGUCAUUUAUAUCAAAUCCACUUUCUCACCUCUAGUAUUAGAAAAUUGAGGUUUAGCAUCAGGGAAACCUCUAGAUAGAUUUUUCACCCUACAUUUUCCUGUGUCUUUAUUCCUAGCCUCAUUUGCUCAUUUCUGUUCAGAAAAGUGAUGAGUUACAUUGCUUACUUGCAGUUUCCCAAGUUGAUCUUUAGUUUUCAGACUUAUCUGAUCUUUCCAAUGCCAGCAAGGUAUAAACCUGAAAAAACUGCCAAAAUGAAUCUUCAGCUGAGUACAUUCCUUGGCAAUUAGUCCACAUGUACCUUAUAGAUCUAAUAGCUUUGUCAAAUUUUUACCUCUCUUCCAGUAAUUUUCUUCCUUUCAUUAUAAUUAUGCAACAUCUCUCUCCAUUGUACUAUAAGCUUAGUAAGGAUAGGAAAUGUCUUUUCCAUUUCUAUAUCCUAUGCAAUACUUAAAAUUUUGCAUACAUUUUUUUGUUUGAUAAAUGUGUACUGAUCUGAAUUGAACAAGUGUUUUUAGUAUUCUAUACAAAUCAUGCUGUGAUGCUAUAAAAAAUUACUAAAAGGAUUAUUUUUUAUUGUUAUUCUUUUUGAAAACAAAGUAAAAUAUUUUCAUUUGAAAUCACACUCAGGGAGUUAUAGUUGAAUACUGUACCACUACAUUAAAUUCUGAAUCAUGGGAAGAUUAAGAAAGGUAGAAAUUACUGGGAAGGCAGAAUAAGAGGUUUGUGGAAACUGGCUAGUAAAUGAGAAAUAAUGCUUUUUUUAUUAGAUUAAACUAGCACAAAACUGAUAUUUAUUAAAAUUUAAAUUGAUGAAUGCUCCAAAACAGUACAAAUAGAACUAUAAUUCCACCUUGCACUUCUAAUGACAAUGAACAACUAAACUAAAUGUUCUUUGUCAUUUUUUUAUACCACUAUAACCUUUGGAUGAAAUUACAGUCUUACACUAAAGUACAUUUGAAAAAGAGUAUGCCUGCCCAUAUUAAAUGCACUAUAUGGAAAAACACUAUUUGUAAUGAAUAUCUGUAUAAUAUAAUUAUGUAAACACCUGCUAAGUACAAAUGUGUUAUUGUGUUUCAAUCCCUAAUGCUGUGAUUGUUUAAAAUAUAAAGGAAAAGAAGAAAGAGAAAGGUUCUGUUUAAUCCAAUAAAAGAGAGAGAGAGAUGUAGUUCUCUGUAGGGUUUUUGAGGCUGUGAAAUAUGUUGUUAUUUCUUUUGACAAUACAAUUAUUCUUAACAUUUGACACUUCCACUCAAAAUAAAAACUAUUUUUCUUCUUUAUCUUCUGACCAUAUUUAUAAUUUCUUUAUAAGACGUCAAAAAAAUAGUAAAAAAUUGUACAGAACUACAAUUGCAAGUACAAAUAGAACUAUAAUUCCAUCUUGCAAUUCUAAUGACAAUGAACAACUAAACUAAAUGUUCUUUGUCAUUAGCUACAAAAUAGGAAAAAAAUACUGUCAUCUAAAAAUGAAAGAAGAGAUAGAUCAAAGAAGAAAUCAAUGAUUAAAACUAUUCUUAUUCCAAUCACAUCUAGCGGUAUAAAAGACUGUUUUAAAAAUGAAUGGAAAUCUCUAUUGUAGAAGUGAACAGAAAUAAAAUUAUUUAUUUAAACAAAUUUGUUCUAGAAACAGGGAAGAUAUUUUAACAGAAAUCAUGCAGGGAAUAAUAAAUUCUUCCCAAAAUGAAUUACUAUUUUAUUAUGUAAAUAAAAUAUUAAGAUAUAUUUUUGCUAAAUGUAUACUUUGACAUACAUCAAAUUAUUUGCUUUGGGAAGUUUUCUAUGAUUAGCUUUAUACAUAUAUAUUUUAGAAGAAUGAAUCCUUGAAUUCUGUAGUAUUUCUUUCUGUAAGUAAAAAGUAUUCUUUCAAUAGUUACAGACAAUACUUUUUUAUAUUUCAUUCAAAUAACACAAUUUCCUUAAAGUUUUAGGUAAAUUUUAUUUCAGUUUUGUGUAGUGAUAUUUUUAUUUCUUUUUUCAAAUUACUAUUUCUUGAUACUGUGAAAAAUUUGGCAUUGUAGAGAGUUUAAUAUUUUUUUCUAAACAAAUUCCAUUAUCUUUCCUCCACUCUUCCCUUCAGCUGUAAUUAGGCCCUGUUUGUACAUAUGCUUCUAUAGCAUGUCAAAUAAAAUUUUCCUUUUAAUCUCUCCUAAAGGCUUUAAUAUUUGUCUUAUUAAAUAGUCUACCAUCAGUCCUAAAAUAUAUUUAUGACUCCAGUUUCAUCAAGUUUCUUAAAGUUUUUGAAAUUCUAGGCUAGGUUAAUAGAUAUUGAAAGAUGUAUCUUACAUAUGAAUAGAUACAUAUCCUCACCAAAAUCAUUCAUUUUAUUCACUCACAUCUUUAUAUCCUACUAUCCAAUAAUCCUGUUAAUUCUACGGUCAAAAUAUAUCCAGACUCCAACCACUUCUCAUCAUCUCUAACAUGAACACCCCCAACCCCCACUACAUUAUCUUUCACCUGAAUUAUUAUCAUUAUUUCCUAACUGGUCUUCCAUCCUUGCCACCCCAUACCCUAUUCCCCACCCUUCAUAGCUUAUUUGCAAGCCUACUGUCAAAAUAUAAAUCAAAAUUUUCUCCAUUCUUAUUUCACUCAGGGUGAAAUAAAAGGCUUAACAGCUGCCUAAAUGGCUGUGAGUGAUCUGCCCUCCAUUGCUUAUCAGAUCUCAUUCCUUACCAAUUUGCCCUUCUUUCCUUCUAUUGCAGCUGCCCUGGACUCAGCUCUUCCUGUAGCACACCAGAUUUACUCUCCCUCAAUGCCUGCGCAUUUAAAGGAGUAACCAAAAUGUUUUCUUCCCAUCAGUUUCAACAGACCCUUGCGUCACUACAGUCAGUUUUGUCUCACAUUUGUCCAAAUGCGUAUUGAUUUCCUACUAAUUGCCAGCUACUCCGAUAACCUUAAGAAAUACAAAUACGCAAGGAAGGAAAUCACUUUCCUCGAGGAGCAAAUGGCUUAGUAGAGGUGAUCAAUGAUACGAACAGGGAGUGAUGAGCCCAGAAGAGGAUAUAUCAGGAAAUACAGUAGAUACUCAAGCUUCCUAGAGGAGUUCAACCCUGAGGAUUAACAAGGGUUAUAAGGGCUAAGAAGGAAUUCAGAGAGGGAAUUUUAGGCAGAAGAAAUGAGCAAAGGCCUCAGAAUUAGUAGAGGAUGUAAUCUAUUCAGAAUAAAAAAACUGUAAGUGAGUUUCCUCUUGCAAUUGACAGUGGGGCUCUGACAAAUGAUAAGACUAGAAAAAGAGGCAAGGAAGGAAAUCAAGGCAGAUUGUAUACAUGUAUACAUUUAUUCUUGCAUUAACUCUAUGAUUUUUAUGUGUGAGCCAUAUUCCUUACUAGGUUCUUGGGAAUACUGCAGUAACCAAAAACAUAGAGUUUUGUGCUCAUAUUAUUUAAAAAUAUAGUGGGUGAAGCAGAUAAGAGAGCACGUUCUUUGAAGGGGAAACUCCAGGGUUUUAUGGGAGUACCCAGAAGCAAGCAUGUAAAUCAGACUUGGAAAAUUAAUGAACACAUUUGCAAAAAAUUAACAUGAAAGGAGAAAUCUGAAGUCUAUACAGGCAUCAGCCAGUGUUACAAGCUAAAAUGUGUCCCCCCUAAAUUCAUAUAUUGAAGUUCUAACCCUCUAUACUUCAACGUUACUGUAUUGGAGGAUAGGGCCUUUAUUAAGUUAUGGGACUUCCUGCUUAACAAUCCAGAUUGUCUCUAUGGAGGCACCAGUUCAAUCCCAGGUGCAAUGGGUUAAGGGUCCAGCAUUGCUGCACCUGUGGCAUAGGUUGCAAUUCCAGCUUGGAUUCAAUCUAUGGCCCAGGGAACUUCCAUAUGCUGUGGGUGUGACCUAAAAAGGAAAGACAAAACAAACAAAAAAAGAGGUGAUUAAGUUAAAAUGAAGUUGUUAGGAAGGACCCUCACCCAAUCUAAAUGCCCUUACAGGAAGGGGACGAAAGAUGUGACAUUCACUGAGAUGUAGGAACACAAGGAAAGUCCCUGACAUGUAAAAAUAACAAGUUCAAUAAAUUCUAAACUUUUGAGCUUGAGGGCCAUAAAAGUAUGGAUGCCUACUUUUAGUAGAUGUGGAUAUAUGAUUCAUAAACUUCAGAAAGAGAUAAGAGGGUAGAGUGGAGAAAAAGAUUUGAUUUUUGAAUCCAUGCAAAUGAAUGGAAUAACAAAUGAUUAUAAGAAAGGGAGGUUUAGAAAGGAAACCCAAGAGACAUCAAUGUUUAAGACAAAAGCAGGGGAAAAUGGGCCCAUGAAGAAGGAUCAGCUACAGCUUGUGACAUAGUAAGAAACUAACACAGGAAAUAAUAAAAACUAAACAGGAAAUAAUGUUUCAACAAUGUCAAAUGAAGAGAGAUCAGUAUGGCAAAAGUUUAUUAGCCAACAGGGAAUUUUUGCUGAUUUUAGAUAAAGUUUAUGCAGGAUUUCAGAAGAUUUAAAAACCAGAUGGAAAUAUUUUAAUUAUGUGUGUCUAAGUGAUAUUAAUGGCAGGAGGUAAGUGAUUAAAGAUUUAAAUACAGACAUGAGAUUUGGGGCUAUAACAGGGAGAAAAAAGAACUGUCACUGGAGGAAGAUGUGGGAUAAAGGAAGAUUUUGUUUGUUAAUUUGUUUUUUCCUAAGGUGGAAGAAACAUACUCUGUUCAAAUGUGAAUGAGAAGGAACCAAAGAUGAAGAAUAUUCAAGAUUAAUAAUGAGAUAGCAUUUAUAUCAUUACAUCAUAUUCAUUUUAUGUGUAGCUCUAAGUACUUUACUCAAAAUAAAUCAUUUAAUACUAGGGUGAAUUAUUAUCUGCCUUUCACAGAUGAGGUAACAUAGUCAUAAAGAUGAUUAAGUUGUGAUAAUCUUCUCAAAGUUAUGCAGGUAGUAAGUUAAGAGAGUCAGGCUUUGAAACCAGGAAAUCUGCCUUCAGAAGUUAUUACAUAUCUGAAAGCCCAGGAGAUAAAAUACCUUCAAGGGAUCACCUAGAAACAGUAGGGCAUAUGAUUGAGGUUAGAGAUCAUGAGUUUUGGGUGAAAUAAUCUGCAACAGCCACCUCUGCUUUUGGGGAAGACACAUAACUCCCAGAGGGAAAAUAUGCAAGUAUAGUUUUUCUCAUUUGAAGAUUUAAGCAGAAGCAUCAGCUAAUUAAGUAUUUUGGGGAAGCCAGACUGGAGAAGAGGAUAUUUCUUAUGUAAUAAUACCUGAAUUAUUAUUAUACAAGAAGUAGGAACAAAUGAGUGGUAAAGGGCAGAAUUCUGGUUUUCCAAUCAACUAGGCCAUCUUUAAAAUCAAAUCUCAUUAUUUUGGUGGCAAGGUAUAUUCUGAGGUACUUUAGAAGAAAACUUGGCCACAAUUUCAUUUAAAGAAAGAAGGAACCAACUGCCUCUUCUGCACAAGAAGAAAGUGAACAACACUUCCUUCCUUUAGGAUUCCCAGAAGUUGGUGCAGGUGACAGCUCCUGUUAAAUCCAUCUUAAGCCUAAGGUAGCAAAGAUAGCAAAGAACAAGAAUAGACAGGGAUCUGAAUUCUAUUGUUCUAUCACUGGUAUUGAAUCCUAUAGAUAUUUUUUCUAUCACUGGUAUUGAAUUUAAGAGGUUUAAAUAAAGGACU